rnacentral:lncRNA from 1 species
UCUUUCCAUCCCUCCCUUCUUUGUUCCUCUUCUCUUUUAGUAUUUAAACAUACAAUGCCAUGUUCUAGGCACUGUGCCAAGGGUGGGGUCAAAAAAUCACUCAUCUUUACAUUUACAGUAUUUCUCAAGUUCAUCUUCUAUGCCUGGCAUUGUACCAAGGACCCUGGGCACUAAGGAUGCAGCAGGAAAUGCAGCAGACUUCAUUUCUGCUCUUACAGGGCUUACAUUUGAGUGUUUUCUCUUCAAGAACCUGGACGUUUAGUCUAGGUUGUGUCUUCCGUGAGAAAGGCUGGCGUUGGGUAAGGCUGGAGAGAAACAGAUCUGAAGCCAAUCCCUGAGCCUCCUGGGCCAUACACUGUCCCACUAUUUCAAAAGAAACUCAGUGACGAGAGGGCAGAGGGAGAAUAUGUCCAGCAUCUCAGCCUCAUUGUUUUCCACUUGGCAGCCCCCUCCAGUUCAGGGAUUCAUUUGAAGAAGCCCACAGGGACGGGUGACACUGAGGAAACAAAACCCAGGCCCCCCGGCCUCCGACUGAGCCGUGCAGAGCAUGCUGGGAGAUCACCUCCACCUGAGGAGCACAAAAGACCCCAGGAGUGGAGGAAGCUGGCCUGAGGCCAACUGGAUGUAGCAGACUUGCUGAGCCCAAGGAGGGAGGUCUGGUGAUGGAGCCUCGAGUACAUAUCCUUCCAAUCCUAAGAAAAAACACAACAGGAAACUUAAAUGAAUGGCUCAAAGAAAUUGCAAACGUUUGCCCAGAUCAAGACCUAAGAUGUUAUUAGCUCCUUAGAAGUCUCGCUCCUGCCCUCUCUAAAUUGUUAUCCUUCAUCCAUACCUUUCCCCAAAAGUGGCCUCUUUCUGGAUUUUUAACAACAGUUUUGUCUGCUUUUUCACUUAAUAUAAAUAAAAUGCAUUCUUUUGUGG